rnacentral:piRNA from 1 species
UAAUGGUCAGUGAAGAGUCUUUGAGACCUCAG